rnacentral:rRNA from 1 species
AUUGAACGCUAGCGGCAUGCCUUACACAUGCAAGUCGAACGGCAGCACGGGUGCUUGCACCUGGUGGCGAGUGGCGAACGGGUGAGUAAUAUAUCGGAACGUACCUUAUUGUGGGGGAUAACGCAGCGAAAGCUGUGCUAAUACCGCAUAAUCCCUAAGGGGGAAAGCGGGGGACCGUAAGGCCUCGCGCAAUUAGAGCGGCCGAUACCUGAUUAGCUAGUUGGUGAGGUAAAGGCUCACCAAGGCAACGAUCAGUAGCUGGUCUGAGAGGACGAUCAGCCACACUGGGACUGAGACACGGCCCAGACUCCUACGGGAGGCAGCAGUGGGGAAUUUUGGACAAUGGGGGCAACCCUGAUCCAGCAAUGCCGCGUGAGUGAAGAAGGCCUUCGGGUUGUAAAGCUCUUUUGUCAGGGAAGAAACAGCAGCUCUAACACAGUUUGCGAAUGACGGUACCUGAAGAAUAAGCACCGGCUAACUACGUGCCAGCAGCCGCCGUAA